CCGCGUGAGUGAUGAAGGUUUUCGGAUCGUAAAGCUCUGUUGUUAGGGAAGAACAAGUGCAAGAGUAACUGCUUGCACCUUGACGGUACCUAACCAGAAAGCCACGGCUAACUACGUGCCAGCAGCCGCGGUAAUACGUAGGUGGCAAGCGUUGUCCGGAAUUAUUGGGCGUAAAGGGCUCGCAGGCGGUUUCUUAAGUCUGAUGUGAAAGCCCCCGGCUCAACCGGGGAGGGUCAUUGGAAACUGGGAAACUUGAGUGCAGAAGAGGAGAGUGGAAUUCCACGUGUAGCGGUGAAAUGCGUAGAGAUGUGGAGGAACACCAGUGGCGAAGGCGACUCUCUGGUCUGUAACUGACGCUGAGGAGCGAAAGCGUGGGGAGCGAACAGGAUUAGAUACCCUGGUAGUCCACGCCGUAAACGAUGAGUGCUAAGUGUUAGGGGGUUUCCGCCCCUUAGUGCUGCAGCUAACGCAUUAAGCACUCCGCCUGGGGAGUACGGUCGCAAGACUGAAACUCAAAGGAAUUGACGGGGGCCCGCACAAGCGGUGGAGCAUGUGGUUUAAUUCGAAGCAACGCGAAGAACCUUACCAGGUCUUGACAUCCUCUGACAACCCUAGAGAUAGGGCUUUCCCUUCGGGGACAGAGUGACAGGUGGUGCAUGGUUGUCGUCAGCUCGUGUCGUGAGAUGUUGGGUUAAGUCCC
rnacentral:rRNA from 1 species